GACGAACGCUGGCGGCGUGCUUAACACAUGCAAGUCGAGCGGUAAGGCCCUUUCGGGGGUACACGAGCGGCGAACGGGUGAGUAACACGUGGGUGACCUGCCCUCAGCUCUGGGAUAAGCCUGGGAAACUGGGUCUAAUACCGGAUAUGACUCCAUGACGCAUGUUGUGGGGUGGAAAGCCUUGUGCGGCUGAGGAUGGGCCCGCGGCCUAUCAGCUUGUUGGGGGGUGAUGGCCUACCAAGGCGACGACGGGUAGCCGGCCUGAGAGGGCGACCGGCCACACUGGGACUGAGACACGGCCCAGACUCCUACGGGAGGCAGCAGUGGGGAAUCUUGCGCAAUGGGCGAAAGCCUGACGCAGCGACGCCGCGUGAGGGAUGACGGCCUGGU
rnacentral:rRNA from 1 species